UCUUCAGUUAUAUGGAAAGCUAUCAGUAUUACUGACUGUGUCUAUCUGUGAGGAUAUUUUCCGUAAUUUUGUUUAAUACACUCUACUUCAAGGCCGGUCAUGUUUAGCAUUUUGAAAUGGACGAGCCGGAGCUAGAGAAAGUGAGCAGUCAGAAAAGGAAACGGGAGAGUGAAGAGGAACCAAAGCAGUAUACAACCAGCAAGCAAGUAGUAGAAGAAGGAAAGUCAUGGUGGACAUGUAUGAUGCUAGGGAUCUCACAAGAUAACACAAAGCCACAGGGAAGGAGAGUCGACAGAACAACACUCAAAGUAAAUGAUCAGUGAAUGAUAGCCAUACCAAUUGAACAUUGUACCAGUCCCAUCGAUCUGAUUUUAUCCUGAUUCCUUGAUUUGUGCAUGAAGCCAUUCAUCAUACAGUGUUGAUUCAUGGCUAAUGUACCUGAUGUUUGUGAGGAAUGUCAAUCAGUCCGCCCAGCCACGCCCCCUCCUGAUUCCUGCUGUGGUUCAGGAUGUGCCGUCUGUGUUUAUGAUAUUCAUGAUCAGGAGAUAGAUCUCUGGAAGAAGACUUGCAAACGUAAACAUGGUGCUGAUGAAAGUCAGUUAGAAAGCAUUGAAAGUGUCAUGGAUCUGAUGGACUAUAAAUAUUACACUCUGCAAUCUAUUGUUCCAGUUUGUACAAAUACAGCGGUCUACAGAUUCACAUUGCCACCUGGGAAAAAACUGGAUCUGUCUAUUGCAAAGCACAUCAUACUCAGGGGUAAACACAAUGGCAAGAUGAUAACCAGGCAGUACACACCCAUCUCACAUGAUACAGGAUUCUUUGAUGUUCUUAUAAAGUUGUAUGUGGAUGGGGAUAUGUCUCAGUGCAUUAAGCAGUGGAAGAUAGGUGAUAACAUAGAAUGGAGAGGACCUUUUGGGUCUUUUACAUACCAGCCAAACAAGGGCCACUAUAUUCUUGCUAUUGCCGCUGGUACCGGUAUCACACCGAUCAUCCAGGUGAUGAGACAUCUUGUUGAGAAUGAGGAGGAUGAGACAGUCUUCAGAUUACUCUACACCUGUCGUUCCUAUCAUGAAAUUCUACUCAGGGAAACCCUUAAUGAGCUAGCUCUGUACUGGAAUAUCACUAUCAUCUUUAAUCUUACACAGAGCUCUCCUGGCAGUCAUCCUAUUGGUUAUGGUGAGACUAUCCAAUAUGGCCGCUUUACACGGGAGAGACUAUCCAAAGAAGUAGCAGCAUCAAUGGGACGUCGUGUAAGGGCAUUGGAGUACUUCUCAGUCAUGGAAUGGGCUGACAAUUCCAUGAUGUAAUUUGAUUAUUGCUCAAAGGGAAAUUUUUAAAGAGAAAUUAAAACUUCACAGAAAGAGUGUGCAAGAUACAAAAAAAAAUCAUCAUUUGAAUUUGUACACAGAAUCAACGUUUACAAAAGUUUCAAUGACCACUAUACUUUUGUAUUAAUGAUUAGAAUCUGUUGGGUGAUAUUCAAGAUAAAUUCAUAAUAUUGACCCAUAACCAGAACUUAAGACAGGUUUUUAUCUUCUAUGGCUAGCAGUAAUAUUUUGAAUAAGUUGGCAUGAAGUGUGAAUUUGGCUUGAAUUUGUACGUCUUUGUGAAAGCAAUGAUCAUAUUACAAUAUCACAAACUAUUAAAAGUGCAUUCAACAAGGUCAUUUAUCACACUUUUUAUUGCACUCCAAAUCUGAUGAAUGAAAAUAACAGAUUUAUUGAUUUUUUAUAUAUAAAUUCUUUAUCCCAAGUAUUAUGAAACUCAGGGCUAUGGUAUAUAUGGUAAUGGUUUUGAUUGGGGGAGGGGAGGUGUCAAGUGUUCUAGAAAACACACAAGUGUUAGAAUAAAGCGACCCAACUUAAUAUAAAGAACAUGGUUUUAGUUUAAAUUGAAUUGAAGGAUCUGGUGCUUGGUUGUUAUUGCAAAUUGAUUUUUUUUUAGGGAGUUGUAAGCUCUUGCCGUAGGUCUACUUUGUAAUGCUAAGACCAAGGCUACUAGAUUUGUAUUUGUAUAAAAGUGAGGCAGCCAUAUGAUGGUGACCAUCAGUGAAAGAUUUCAAAUAGAAAUUGAAAACAAUGAUUAAUAUCGAGCAUAUGAAAUGAAAAUGUGUGUGUCUGGAAUGCACAGCAUAAGAUUAUACAUGUAGGGUAUAAAUUGCAUCUUGGUCUACACCAUCCCACUUGCUCCAAUCCUAUUUUUUAACAACCAGUUUGUCGACUAACCAUUUGAUUUAAUUGCCAUUUACCUUAAUACAAUUUGUCCAUUCAUCCAAUAGGGCUAUACAUUGGAUAUAAACUUGGGUCUAAAUAAUGAUUAGAUGAACUGAGCCGAAUUUCAUUUGGAAAAAAAUGCACAAUAACAUAUUUGAAUUGUAUCCCAUUACCCCCCCCCCCCUCCCGGCUUCAGAUCUAGACCUUGAAUGCUUGGUCUAAACGAUGCAUACUUUCAUAGAACUAUAAUAUGUAAUCAGUGUUGAUUUUUAUUGUAAUUUGUAUUAUUCAAUUAUGCGAAUCAGGUGCAAAAUACUAUUUUCUAUAUGAAUAGUUUCCUUGAAUUGCAUUCAAGGAAAUUACAUUGCAUUGUAUUGAUAUUGCAUAUUGUGUAGAUAUGUGGUGAAAAUGAUUCAAAUUGUUGUGGUACAUCAACCGUUUUAAUAUUGAUUUUAUUUUGUUGGUUAAGUGAAGAUUUGCUACUUUUUUAUAUCUGUUAUUAGCACAUAUCGUUAACCUUACGGACACUGGAUGAUUUUGCUAUAUAUAUUAUAUAGACUCCAGCUUGCAUCUGUGGGCUCAGUCUCCAUCGGGGUUAAUACAAUGACAGCACAUGUUGGAGUUCAACCUUUGAUCCAGAAAAUGUAUAAUUAAAGGUCAAAAUUUGAACAAACUCCAACAUGACUCUUCUCAGAGCUUUUUUCUGUCAUUUUUCUUUUGUAUUUUUUUAUUCUUGUACAUUUAAAUUUUAUUUAUUUUUCAUUCUUGAUCAUUUUUGUGUGCAAUCCAUUUAUACUUGCACAAUUUCAACUUUAAUUACCUCUCCUACAAAUACUGGAAGAAUGCUGUAGAAGCAAAAAUAGCUUCCAGGUCUAUCUUGUCAAUUAUAUUCACUGAAUUAGUGUCUUUUUCAAUGAGAAUUUUAACCUGUAUAUUAUUCCUUUGAUGAAAAAAGUGAAAAUCUACAAACAAUAUUUGCAAUAAAUAUAUCAAAAUAUUGACUUCUCA